UCCUGGGCUCUGCCAGGGACACAGGGAGGAGAAGACACGCACACGCAGAGCGGAGAAAGGGCUCCUCUGUGCACCGGAGUCCCGCACAUCUCUGACGCGGGGGGAGAGCGCCGACCUCCCGACGGAACCUCCCGAUCACGCACGGAUACAAACGCGCAAUUGACCGCGGAGCUCUCCUCCUGCCUCCUCCUCCUCCUCCACAGCCGGGAGGACACGCAGCCUCGGGGCAGAUGCGGUGGGAAUUAUCGAUCCGAUCCACGCGCACCUGCACACCUGGAGCCUGGAGGACGCUGCACCGACCCGACCUGCUCCACAUGUGGAUGUUUUUUCCCCUCCGCGGAUGCAGGACGCAGCUGAUGAUGCAAACAGGAAGCUUCAGACUUAACCUUGUGCUGCUGAAUCAACCAGCGGAGCCUGUUCCUAUCUUUGGUUAUCUAGCUGUAUGAGUGUUAAUCCUCCUUCAUAAAGCUAGAUAACCGAAAGUAGGAAUGACCUCCACACCCCCCCAUCUCCUAACGAAGAAAAGAAAGAGAAUAAAGAUGGCAACACUAGAGGACACGGAGUGUGCUCAGAAAAGAAUCAGACUGAUGCUGGGGCCACCCUCUCUGUGCGGGAUGUGCAGCGUCUUCGUCGGUGUGUUCAUCACUUGGAUUCUCUGCAGCCAAACCCAAGGAACUGUCUCUGUGCAAUUGGACAAGUGCAGGAACAUGUUGUGUCUCUGCUCCAGACUUCAACACAGUUUUAACCACAAUUCUUUCAUGGAUUUCAUUUUCAUUUUUCACUGUGAAAAUUAGAUUUGAUACUUACACUUGAGUUGAAGGUUUUUGUUUUCAAAUGCAUGUCAUUUUUUUGAGAAUCCUUUCUGAAAAAAUUAUUUGGAAGAAUUUUAUAUGAAAUAUGAUACAUAAAUAUCAAAAAGAAUACAAAUUAUUAGCUGUGGUUUCCAGGUGACCAGAUACUAAAGGGAAUCACACAUAAUGACUGUAUGUGCUUUAGCUCUUGACUAUAACACUUGAGCAUCAAGACCUGGAAGCGGGGAUUUUACUUUAUCAAUGACACUAUGGUAUUUGAAAUGAUCACAGUGAGACGAAUGAAAUGCUUUUGUUCUUUUCGUAAUAAAAUACAU